rnacentral:rRNA from 1 species
UACAGAGGUCUCAAGCGUUGUUCGGAUUCAUUGGGCGUAAAGGGUGUGUAGGUGGCGCCGUAAGUCGGGUGUGAAAUCUCGGGGCUUAACUCCGAAACUGCAUUCGAUACUGCGGUGCUUGAGGACUGGAGAGGAGGCUGGAAUUCAUGGUGUAGCAGUGAAAUGCGUAGAGAUCAUGAGGAAGACCAGUGGCGAAGGCGGGUCUCUGGACAGUUCCUGACACUGAGACACGAAGGCCAGGGGAGCAAACGGG